UACGAAGGGGGCUAGCGUUGCUCGGAAUCACUGGGCGUAAAGGGUGCGUAGGCGGGUCUUUUAAGUCAGGGGUGAAAUCCUGGAGCUCAACUCCAGAACUGCCUUUGAUACUGAGGAUCUUGAGUUCGGGAGAGGUGAGUGGAACUGCGAGUGUAGAGGUGAAAUUCGUAGAUAUUCGCAAGAACACCAGUGGCGAAGGCAGCUCACUGGCCCGAUACUGACGCUGAGGCACGAAAGCGUGGGGAGCAAACAGG
rnacentral:rRNA from 1 species